UACGUAGGGGGCAAGCGUUGUCCGGAAUCAUUGGGCGUAAAGCGCGUGUAGGCGGUCCGGUAAGUCCGCUGUGAAAGCCCGGAGCUCAACUCCGGAAUUGCCUUUAAGACUGCAUCGCUAGAAUUGUGGAGAGGUAAGUGGAAUUCCGAGUGUAGAGGUGAAAUUCGUAGAUAUUCGGAAGAACACCAGUGGCGAAGGCGACUUACUGGACACAUAUUGACGCUGAGGUGCGAAAGCGUGGGGAGCAAACAGG
rnacentral:rRNA from 1 species